AAAGAUUUAGUUUAAUAAAAACAUUAAGUUGUCAACUUAAAAUUACUUAGUAGUAAUCUUUUU
rnacentral:tRNA from 1 species